rnacentral:rRNA from 1 species
UGGGGAAUAUUGCACAAUGGGCGCAAGCCUGAUGCAGCCAUGCCGCGUGUGUGAAGAAGGCCUUCGGGUUGUAAAGCACUUUCAGCGAGGAGGAAGGUGGUGAGCUUAAUACGCUCAUCAAUUGACGUUACUCGCAGAAGAAGCACCGGCUAACUCCGUGCCAGCAGCCGCGGUAAUACGGAGGGUGCAAGCGUUAAUCGGAAUUACUGGGCGUAAAGCGCACGCAGGCGGUUUGUUAAGUCAGAUGUGAAAAUCCCCGGGCUCAACCUGGGAACUGCAUUUGAAACUGGCAAGCUAGAGUCUCGUAGAGGGGGGUAGAAUUCCAGGUGUAGCGGUGAAAUGCGUAGAGAUCUGGAGGAAUACCGGUGGCGAAGGCGGCCCCCUGGACGAAGACUGACGCUCAGGUGCGAAAGCGUGGGGCAGCAAACAGGAUUAGAUACCCUGGUAGUCCA